rnacentral:ncRNA from 2 species
GGAGCCAAUCCUGGAGAGAUCGCUUUUAAAGCGACGCCGAAGGGUUCAUGAUCUCAGGCAACCGGACAGGAACGAACUU